GGAUGCGAUCAUACCGGAACUGAAGCACCGGAUCCCAUCAGAACUCUAAAGUUAAGCAUGCUUGGGCUAGAGUAGUACUAGGAUGGGUGAGCCCUUGGGAAGUCCUCGUGUUGCAUCCC